AGCGCGGACGGGGAGAGGCGGCGGGGACGGGGCUGCGGCCCCGCCGCCUCCGCUCGCGGGCGGUGCGCGGCAGCUCCCGAGGUCACGGCAGGAGUUAACAGACCCCACAACAAUCCCCAUCCCUUCCCUUUUACGUAGGCACUUUCCUCACCGUGCCAUUCAAACGGGCGUGAUGACAAGAACGCGCUGGUUUCAUCCCGGACCGAAAUCCCGUGGUUUUUAGCUGUAGCUGUCGGCGUGCAAAGCAUCCAGCGAUGCUCCUGAUCUCGCAGAGGGAUUGAAACGCCUCCUGCAUUUUGAAGCGCCUCGUCAUCCCUAGAUUUACGUUUAUAAAUACGUAGAUGCUGCUGCUAAUUCUUGGUUUUCUCACAGACUUUCGCGUGUUUACGGCUCGCUGGAAAGUUUCCUCCCCGCUCCCUUCUGAUCGCGCCAACCAAAGCUGUUAUAUAAAUGAACUUUCAGGCCA